UAAGUUUCAAGAUGAUAUCUAAGGAUGCUUUCAUGAAAUAUAUAUGGUUGUUUGUUGAAAAUCAUGAACUUUGCAUGGUUUAAUAUAAUGUAAGUAUAAAAUCCACCUAUGCCUUAAAGAAUGCAUGUAAGGUGUUUGAUAAAAUGCCUAGGAUGCCAGAAAUUCCUAUUUAUAUGAUUACAUGAUAUUCACAUGACAAG
rnacentral:lncRNA from 1 species